UACGUAGGGUGCAAGCGUUAAUCGGAAUUACUGGGCGUAAAGCGUGCGCAGGCGGUUGUGCAAGACAGAUGUGAAAUCCCCGGCUGCAACCUGGGAAUUGCAUUUGUGACUGCACGGCUAGAGUGUGUCAGGAGGGGGUAGAAUUCACGUGUGAGCAGUGAAAUGCGUAGAGAUGUGGAGGAAUACCGAUGGCGAAGGCAGCCCCCUGGGAUAACACUGACGCUCAUGCACGAAAGCGUGGGGAGCAAACAGG
rnacentral:rRNA from 1 species